AUACGUAGGUGACAAGCGUUAUCCGGAUUUACUGGGCGUAAAGGGCGUGUAGGCGGUCUUGCAAGUCAGAAGUGAAAUUCCUGAGCUCGACUCGGGCGCUGCUUCUGAAACUGCAGGACUUGAGUGCUGGAGGGGAUAGCGGAAUUCCUAGUGGAGCGGUAAAAUGCGCAGAUAUUAGGAAGAACACCGGUGGCGAAGGCGGCUAUCUGGACAGUAACUGACGCUGAGGCGCGAAAGCGUGGGGAGCAAACAGGAUUAGAUACCCUGGUAGUCCACACUGUAAACGAUGAAUGCUAGGUGUAGGGGGUAUCGACCCCUUCUGUGCCGCAGUCAACACAAUAAGCAUUCCGCCUGGGGAGUACGGCCGCAAGGUUGAAACUCAAAUGAAUUGACGGGG
rnacentral:rRNA from 1 species